rnacentral:misc_RNA from 1 species
GGUCAUAUCAUUCAGGAGGACUGCGGCGAGAGCAUUUAGAUAGGCACCUCGGUGACUGUAGAUGACACCUUUCGGACUGGAUGUAGUGCCUGAGGUAUAGUUCAGACUGAUUGGAUCACACUCGUCGAGAGGCCAUUUGAUCUCGAAGUGCAAAUUUGAACUCCUCAGAAGGUUCUCAUACUCAAAACUGGUACUAGCGAACGAAUCUGAGAUUCCAGUGAGGGAUCCGGUGGGUUCCGAUAUUAU